GCCCUUAUAGCUCAGUGGUAGAGCGUUGCACUUGUAGCUCUGAUUAGUCAUUAAUCCUUGCUUAUCUAAUCAUGCAAAGGUCCAUAGUUCAAUCCUGUGUGGGGGCA